rnacentral:rRNA from 1 species
UAUUAUUCCAAGAUAAAUUUUUGCUGGGGUUAGUAAUAGAUAUUUACUUAAAAACUAAAAAAUUUGGCGGUAAUUUAAUCUUUCCAGAGGAACUUGUUUUUUAAUCGAUAAACCGCGAAUUAUCUUACUUACUUUGGUGAAAGUUUGUAUACCGUCAUUAUCGGGAAAUUUUUAGAAAAUAAAUUUCUUAGUCUAAAAAAUUAUAAAAAUUAGAUCAUGGUGCAGCUUAUGAGUAAGUUAAAAUGAGUUACAAUAAAUUAUUUUAUAUGAAUAAUUAAAAGAAUUUUUAAUUUGAAGGAGGAUUUGGUAGUAUUUUAAGUUUAAUACACUUAGUAGAUGUCAGCUCUAAAUUAUGUACAUAU